AUUGAACGCUGGCGGCAGGCUUAACACAUGCAAGUCGAGCGGGGGAAGGUAGCUUGCUACCGGACCUAGCGGCGGACGGGUGAGUAAUGCUUAGGAAUCUGCCUAUUAGUGGGGGACAACAUCUCGAAAGGGAUGCUAAUACCGCAUACGUCCUACGGGAGAAAGCAGGGGAUCACUUGUGACCUUGCGCUAAUAGAUGAGUCUAAGUCGGAUUAGCUAGUUGGUGGGGUAAAGGCCUACCAAGGCGACGAUCUGUAGCGGGUCUGAGAGGAUGAUCCGCCACACUGGGACUGAGACACGGCCCAGACUCCUACGGGAGGCAGCAGUGGGGAAUAUUGGACAAUGGGGGGAACCCUGAUCCAGCCAUGCCGUGUGUGAAGAAGGCCUUAUGGUUGUAAAGCACUUUAAGCGAGGAGGAGGCUCGUUUGGUUAAUACCCAAGAUGAGUGGACGUUACUCGCAGAAUAAGCACCGGCUAACUCUGUGCCAGCCGCCGCAGUAA
rnacentral:rRNA from 1 species